rfam:Streptosporangium roseum DSM 43021, complete genome.
AAGAGCCGUGUAACGAGAGAUUGUUACGCACGGUUCUGUGGGAGCCCCGGGCUGAGACGCCCGGGACGACCCGAC